rnacentral:rRNA from 1 species
UACGUAGGGUGCGAGCGUUAAUCGGAAUUACUGGGCGUAAAGUGUGCGCAGGCGGCUUCGCAAGUCGAGUGUGAAGUCCCCGAGCUUAACUUGGGAAUUGCGCUCGAAACUACGGAGCUGGAGUGUGGCAGAGGAAGGUGGAAUUCCACGUGUAGCGGUGAAAUGCGUAGAGAUGUGGAGGAACACCGAUGGCGAAGGCAGCCUUCUGGGCCAACACUGACGCUCAUGCACGAAAGCGUGGGGAGCAAACAGG